AAAGAAGGUUUCUAGGGUUCCGAUGUGCCUACAUGACUGGUCCGAGAGAAACGAGCUACUGACAAGAUUUUUUUUUGAUAAGGAUAAAAGUAGCUACACGGAGGGAGAAAAGCCCGGGAGGA
rnacentral:sRNA from 2 species